UACGUAGGGGGCAAGCGUUGUCCGGAAUCAUUGGGCGUAAAGCGCGCGUAGGCGGCCCGGUAGGUCCGCUGUAAAAGUCCAGGGCUCAACCCUGGAAAGCCGGUGGAUACUGUCGGGCUAGAGUCCGGAAGAGGCGAGUGGAAUUCCUGGUGUAGCGGUGGAAUGCGCAGAUAUCAGGAGGAACACCGAUGGCGAAGGCAGCUCGCUGGGACGGUACUGACGCUGAGACGCGAAAGCGUGGGGAGCGAACAGG
rnacentral:rRNA from 1 species